ACUAAAGCUAGCCCAAACAAAAUAAUCUUAUAACCAAUAACCCAUAAUAAUAAAAUAAAACAUUUAUACAUUAAAGUAUAGGAGAUAGAAAUUCUUAUUUGGAGCUAUAGAGAAAGUACCGUAAGGGAACGAGUGAAAGACCUAUUAAAAGUAAUAAACAGCAAAGAUUACCCCUUGUACCUUUUGCAUAAUGAUUUAACCAGAACAACCUUAGCGUAGUGACCUUAAGUUAAGCACCCCGAAACCAGACGAGCUAUCCACGAACAGCUAAAUUGAGCAAACUCAUCUAUGUAGCAAAAUAGUGAGAAGAUUUUUGGAUAGAGGUGAAAAGCCUACCGAGCCUGGUGAUAGCUGGUUGUCCAGCCUAGAAUUUUAGUUCAACUUUAAAUUUACCACACCAAAACUCUAAUUCUAAUGUAAAUUUAAAUGUUAAUCUAAAGAGGUACAGCUCUUUAGACCAAGGAUACAACCUUUAUUAGAGAGUAAGCAUGCCAAUAACCAUAGUUGGCCUAAAAGCAGCCACCAAUUAAGAAAGCGUUCAAGCUCAACAAUUACUCCCACCUUAAUAUUAUAAACUAAAAUAACUCCUAAACUUUCACUGGACUAAUCUAUAUUAAUAUAGAAGAAAUACUGUUAAUAUGAGUAACAAGAUUAUUAUCUCCCCGCGCAAGUUUAUGUCAGACUUAAUAAUAACUGAUAGUUAACAGCCAACUAAACAUAACCUAAGAUAAAACAUUUAAUAUAUUCCACUGUUAACCCGACACAGGAGCGCAACAUACUAAGGGAAAGAUUAAAAGAAGUAAAAGGAACUCGGCAAACACAAACCCCGCCUGUUUACCAAAAACAUCACCUCUAGCAUUACUAGUAUUAGAGGCACUGCCUGCCCAGUGACAAUAGUUAAACGGCCGCGGUAUCCUGACCGUGCAAAGGUAGCAUAAUCAUUUGUUCUUUAAAUAAGGACUUGUAUGAAUGGCCACACGAGGGUUUAACUGUCUCUUACUUCUAAUCAGUGAAAUUGACCUUUCCGUGAAGAGGCGGAAAUAAACAAAUAAGACGAGAAGACCCUAUGGAGCUUUAAUUUUCUUAAUCCAACAGAAUCAACUCAACCCACAAGGAUCAACAAUAAUUCUAACUGGAUUAAAAAUUUUGGUUGGGGUGACCUCGGAGAAUAAAAUAACCUCCGAGAAGCUUAUACUAAGACUAACAAGUCUAAGUAAAAUAAAUAACUGAUCCAGUCUAACUGAUCAACGGAACAAGUUACCCUAGGGAUAACAGCGCAAUCCUAUUCAAGAGUCCCUAUCGACAAUAGGGUUUACGACCUCGAUGUUGGAUCAGGACAUCCUAAUGGUGCAGCAGCUAUUAAUGGUUCGUUUGUUCAACGAUUAAAGUCCUACGUGAUCUGAGUUCAGACCGGAGUAAUCCAGGUCGGUUUCUAUCUAUUUAAUAUUUCUCCUAGUACGAAAGGACAAGAGAAAUAGGGCCAAUUCAUAAAUGAACACCCUCAAGUAAAUAAAUGAAAAAAUCUUAAUUUAGUAAACUUAUUAAUAACCUACUUAAGACCAAAGUUUC
rnacentral:rRNA from 1 species